rnacentral:rRNA from 1 species
GACGAACGCUGGCGGCGUGCUUAACACAUGCAAGUCGAACGGAAAGGCCUUGCUUUUGUGGGGUGCUCGAGUGGCGAACGGGUGAGUAACACGUGAGUAACCUGCCCUUUACUUUGGGAUAACUUCAGGAAACUGGGGCUAAUACCGGAUAGGAGCUCCUGCUGCAUGGUGGGGGUUGGAAAGUUUCGGCGGUUGGGGAUGGACUCGCGGCUUAUCAGCUUGUUGGUGGGGUAGUGGCUUACCAAGGCUUUGACGGGUAGCCGGCCUGAGAGGGUGACCGGCCACAUUGGGACUGAGAUACGGCCCAGACUCCUACGGGAGGCAGCAGUGGGGAAUAUUGCACAAUGGGCGGAAGCCUGAUGCAGCAACGCCGCGUGCGGGAUGACGGCCUUCGGGUUGUAAACCGCUUUCGCCUGUGACGAAGCGUGAGUGACGGUAAUGGGUAAAGAAGCACCGGCUAACUACGUG